CAAAAUGCAUAUACACACAUUUUAAUUUUGGUUUUAUUUACAGAUCCUCCAGUUGUUAAUAUACUUUACAGCAAUUUUACUGAAGACAGCAAAAAUAGGGAAAUGAAAUGUAUGGCACAAGGAGAACCAAAUAGUUACAGAUACUUUCCCUGGGAACAUCGAUCUCAAUUUAACGAGCAUAUUAGAUAUUUAGGCGCGACAAAUAAUGGAAUUCUCCAGCUACCAGAGAGUGACUUAUCAAAUAGAUAUCAGGAUACCGGGAUUUACAUCUGUAAUGUCUCAAAUGGUAUUCCUAAUUAUUAUGGGAAUAUUUUUCAACAAGGGAGAGUGUACAUUGUAUCGGAAGGUCCACCUAUUUUUAUGAAAAAGAGCCAGACCGUACAAUAUGGCAAAGAAGGAAAUCCAAAAGAUUUGGCAAUUUAUGUGUACAGUGUAUCGAACAUAACAUGUUCGGUGGUGUCAAAUUUGUACGGAUAUUCAUUUCAAUAUCAUGUUCGAAUGGAGUUAAUUAUAACCAGAGCUAAUUUUCACGGUACAACAAUUACACUGCAUGGACGGCAAGUAGUGUUCAGUUUUCCUAAACUAAGAAGAUUUGAUUUCCAAAUGUAUAUGGUAACAUUAUGCAAUAGAUAUGGAAACAUCAGUAUUCAUGUUGAAUUAAGAAGUAAAGUGAAUUACUCAUCAGGAGAACAAACACUGUCGGCCGAAGGCAUCUUUAUUACCAUUAUAGUAUUUCUGAUAAUUAUUUUGGCUGGGAUGGGUAUAUAUGUUAGUAAGUACACAUUGUCGGUUUUAGAUAUAACGAUGUCAAGUGUUUAGUGGAAUCAACAUACAAUCGAAUGUAACACAUUAAUAAAGCAAUGCUAAAUCCAAAUAAUAGCGAUUCAUGUGACGACAAGAAGUUCCAACAUGUUUGUCUUCCAACAUGGAAUUCAUCAACCAUAUGUAUUUCAUUUACAAAUCCAUAAUAAAUGUUAAUUCUUGCACGAGGAGAAUAAGUAUUCAUUUUCGCAA